CAGUCGCCACGGUAAUACGAAGGGUGCAAGCGUUAAUCGGAAUUACUGGGCGUAAAGCGUGCGUAGGCGGUUUGUUAAGUCUGUUGUGAAAUCCCCGGGCUCAACCUGGGAAUGGCAAUGGAUACUGGCAAGCUAGAGUGUGUCAGAGGAUGGUGGAAUUCCCGGUGUAGCGGUGAAAUGCGUAGAGAUCGGGAGGAACAUCAGUGACGAAGGCGGCCAUCUGGGACAACACUGACGCUGAGGCACGAAAGCGUGGGGAGCAAACAGGAUUAGAUACCCGAGUAGUCCCUGUCUCUUAUAC
rnacentral:rRNA from 1 species